UGUGCAAAGGUAGCAUAAUCAUUUGGCUUAUAAUUGGAGUCUUGUAUGAACGAAUUAUUGGGUAAUAACUGUCUAUUAAAGUUUAAUAGAAAUUACUUAACAAGUGAAAAUACUUGUAGAUAAUUAAUAGACGAGAAGACCCUAGAAAUUUUAUAUAAUAUAAAGUCUAUUUUUUAUUAUUAUUUUGUUGGGGCGACAGAAUAACAAAUAACUUAUUUUAUUUGAUUAGCACUAUUUAAUGAGAAAAAUAAAAUUACUCUAGGGAUAACAGCAUAAUUUUUAUAAGUUUGUGACCUCGAUGUUGGACUAGGGAUUUUAGUAUUUAGAAGAUAUUAAAACAAGCUCUGUUCGAGCUAUACAUCCCUACAUGAUCUGAGUUCAAAUCGA
rnacentral:rRNA from 1 species